rnacentral:misc_RNA from 1 species
GAGGAAAGUUAGCAGCGGGAGACCAAAAGGGUCAAAGAACAAGAAAAAGGCAGUCACUUUCGAUAUGGGGUUUCCUUGUCAAGUUAGUUGUCAGAAUGCUGUUAGUAAGAUGGUUAAGCGCAGAGGGAGGCCGAAGGGUGUAAAUGAUAAGAAGAAAAUUCCUAUCGUCUCUGACUGCAUGGGAGAGCAGGAACUUAGUGCAAAUGCAGAAACAAGUGGACUGACAGGUCAAGGAGUAUUGGAUGCUAUUGGUUGGAAGAAUCAGCAGAACUUUUCAUGUCAUCAGUG